CAUUUCAUUUUCAGAAGAGUCUGUCAACCCUUCAUCUUUAUUCUUUGUUGUUACUGGUCCUUCACCAGAAAAAUAAUCGGAGAAAUUCUUUCCAACACCCCCCUUCAAUGUGAAGGGGGCAGAAUCAGAACCAACUUGUCCAAAAUAUGCCGGUGAGAAGGGCCGUGAGAGGUUUAGUGAAAAUAUCGAUGAUUUGGAAAGUGGAUGGUACAAAAGAGAGAGAAAUUAGGCCGGAGAUGUAUUUUUGUUGAAUGAAGUGACAAUCUAAGUCCACAUGGUUCGUUCUUUCAUGAAAGACGGGAUUUUAGCAAUAUGAAUUGAUGCUUGUGAAUCAGAGUGUAAAGAAAUUGGAAGAGAAGGAGAGAUUGAGAGAUCUUCGAAAAGACGGACAAGCCAUGUGAUUUCUGCGACAACCCAACGCAUUGAGCUGUAUUCAGCCUCGACUGAAGAUACGAAGAUGGAAAUCUGCUUCUUGGAUUUCCACGAAAUAGGACAAUUCCUAUAAUUUAUGAAGUGCCCAUUAACAGAUCGGUGACUUUCCGGGUAUGUAGCCUAAUUGACAUCACAAAAUGCUACUAACUCGAAAGAUGGGGAGGAUGAUAUAAACAAACCAAUUCUAGGGUCUGAAAAAAGAUAUCGGGGGACAUGAAUACCAGCAUCAAAAUGUGGUUGACAAGGGGAUUGCAUGUACUAACUCAUACGUUGUACACAAAACAUGGAUCCAAUGGAGAAGAAUUUGGUCGAAGAUUCAAACAAUCAAACUCCCGUAAAAGUUCCAUAGCAAA